rnacentral:misc_RNA from 1 species
AUGGCUAUCAAAGGUGGGCUGAAGUCAACGGGAAGUUUGGAGUCAGGCGGGGGUGACCAUGACUGGGUGGGAGUGGUAAUUGUAUUUGUAGUGACGACGGUGGAAGCGGGUGAUGGGCCCCGCCGGAAGUGGUGGUGCACCGGCGAAGGGGCAGGGGCCAAGGCUCUGAUAACCAUGUUGGUGGCGGUUUUGUGUAAAGUGUGUUAAUGGCGUUUCGAGGUUUUACUUUGUAUGUUGAGCGUGGGGUUCGUUUGUAUGGGUUAAUUGUUCCAAAAGUUGACCGUGAUUUGUCGACGGUGGGGGGAG